rnacentral:rRNA from 1 species
CAUGCAAGUCGAACGCGAAAGUGGAGCAAUCCCCGAGUAGCGUGGCAAACGGGUGAGUAACGCGUGGGUGACCUGCCUCUCGAGUGGGGGAUAACGUUCCGAAAGGGACGCUAAUACCGCAUGACAUCCGGCCUUUGAAGAGGCGGAGAUCAAAGCUGGGGAUCGCAAGACCUAGCGCUCGAUGAGGGGCCCGCGUCUGAUUAGCUAGUUGGUGGGGUAACGGCUCACCAAGGCAACGAUCAGUAUCCGGCCUGAGAGGGCGGACGGACACACUGGGACUGAGACACGGCCCAGACUCCUACGGGAGGCAGCAGUGGGGAAUUGUUCGCAAUGGGCGCAAGCCUGACGACGCAACGCCGCGUGGAGGAUGAAGAUCUUCGGGUCGUAAACUCCUUUCGAUCGAGACGAACAGCCUUCGGGUAAACAAUCCGGAGGUCUGACGGUACCGAGAGAAGAAGCCCCGGCUAACUCCGUGCCAGCAGCCGCGGUAAUACGGGGGGGGCAAGCGUUGUUCGGAAUUACUGGGCGUAAAGGGCUCGUAGGCGGCCAACUAAGUCAGACGUGAAAUCCCUCGGCUUAACCGGGGAACUGCGUCUGAUACUGGAUGGCUUGAGUUUGGGAGAGGGAUGCGGAAUUCC